rnacentral:rRNA from 1 species
CAAGUCGAACGCGAAAGUCCCCUUCGGGGGACAAGUAGAGUGGCGUCCGGGUGAGUAACACGUAGGUAAUCUACCUUCGGGUGGGGAAUAACGCAGGGAAACUUGCGCUAAUACCGCAUAAUGCAGCGGCACCACAUGGUGACAGUUGUUAAAGCGGGGGAUUUUCGAACCUCGCGCCUGAAGAGGAGCCUGCGGCAGAUUAGCUAGUUGGUAAGGUAACGGCUUACCAAGGCGACGAUCUGUAGCCGGCCUGAGAGGGCGGUCGGCCACACUGACACUGACAUACGGGUCAGACUCCUACGGGAGGCAGCAGUCGGGAAUUUUGGGCAAUGGGCGAAAGCCUGACCCAGCAACGCCGCGUGAAGGAUGAAAUCCCUCGGGAUGUAAACUUCGCAAGAAUGGGAAGAAUUAGCGAGUACUAAUACUGCUCGUGAUGACGGUACCAUUUGUAAGCUCCGGCUAACUCCGUGCCAGCAGCCGCGGUAAUACGGGGGGAGCAAGCGUUGUUCGGAUUUACUGGGCGUAAAGGGCGCGUAGGCGGCCAGCACAAGUCAGUUGUGAAAUCUCCGGGCUUAACUCGGAACGGUCAACUGAUACUGUGCGGCUAGAGUGCAGAAGGGGCAACUGGAAUUCUCGGUGUAGCGGUGAAAUGCGUAGAUAUCGAGAGGAACACCUGCGGCGAAGGCGGGUUGCUGGGCUGACACUGACGCUGAUGCGCGAAAGCCAGGGGAGCGAACGGGAUUAGAUACCCCGGUAGUCCUGGCCUUAAACGAUGGAUGCUUGGUGUCUGGAGUUUUAUAGUCUCCGGGUGCCGUAGCUAACGCGUUAAGCAUCCCGCCUGGGGAGUACGGUCGCAAGACUGAAACUCAAAGGAAUUGACGGGGACCCGCACAAGCGGU